AAUGGGCGAAAGCCUGACCCAGCAACGCCGCGUGAAGGAUGAAGGUUUUCGGAUUGUAAACUUCUUUGAUCGGGGAAGAAUAAAGACGGUACCCGAGGAACAAGCCACGGCUAACUACGUGCCAGCAGCCGCGGUAAUACGUAGGUGGCGAGCGUUAUCCGGAAUUACUGGGUGUAAAGGGCGUGUAGGCGGGAAGACAAGUCAGAAGUGAAAUCCCAGGGCUUAACCCUGGUGCUGCUUCUGAAACUGUUUUUCUUGAGUGUCGGAGAGGAAAGUGGAAUUCCCAGUGUAGCGGUGAAAUGCGUAGAGAUUGGGAGGAACACCAGUGGCGAAGGCGGCUUUCUGGACGAUAACUGACGCUGAGGCGCGAAAGCGUGGGGAGCAAA
rnacentral:rRNA from 1 species